rnacentral:misc_RNA from 1 species
AAGUCGUAACAAGGUUUCCGUAGGUGAACCUGCGGAAGGAUCAUUAUUGAAUUUUUGAAGGAGCUGUUUGCUGGCCCUUGACGGGGCAUGUGCACGCUUCGUUUCAAAUCUCCAACCUCUUCAUACCCCUGUGCAUCUUUUGUAGGGUUGCGUCGGUCGAAAGGCCGGUGCGCUCUAUGUCAUAUCAUAAACUCUCGUAUGUGUAGAAUGUUCAAUGCGCACGACGCAUCUUUAUACAACUUUCAGCAACGGAUCUCUUGGCUCUC